AGAGUUUGAUCCUGGCUCAGAAUGAACGCUGGCGGCGUGCCUAACACAUGCAAGUCGAGCGAGAAAUCACACUUCGGUGUGAGAGUAGAGCGGCGCACGGGUGAGUAACGCGUGGAUAAUCUACCCAUGGAUUGGGGAUAACCCUGCGAAAGCGGGGCUAAUACCUGAUAGUCUGGUCAUUAUAUAGAUGAUCGGUAAAGGUGGCCUCUGAUACAAGCUACUGUCCGUGGAUGAGUCCGCGUCUCAUUAGCUGGUUGGUGGGGUAAUGGCCUACCAAGGCGACGAUGAGUAGCUGGUCUGAGAGGAUGAUCAGCCACACUGGGACUGGAACACGGCCCAGACUCCUACGGGAGGCAGCAGUGGGGAAUAUUGGGCAAUGGGCGCAAGCCUGACCCAGCAACGCCGUGUGAGGGAAGAAGGUUUUCGGAUCGUAAACCUCUGUCAGAAGGGAAGAAGUGGCAGAUAUUUAAUAUAUAUUUGCUUUGACGGUACCUUCAGAGGAAGCACCGGCUAACUCCGUGCCAGCAGCCGCGGUAAUACGGAGGGUGCAAGCGUUAUUCGGAAUCACUGGGCGUAAAGCGCGCGUA
rnacentral:rRNA from 1 species